UGAAUUUGCCCGUCACUGAAGGGCUAAACCAUGAAUGUCCUUGACUUUGGCUUCUAAAAUACCUGCUGCAUGUUGGUGUGUGAACUCAGCACUUUCCUAAACCUGGGAAUCCAGCUGAAAAAUAAGAAGAUAGCUCUGCAACACCACACCUGUUGGUGGUUGACUUCAGGAAGUUCAGAUGGAUUAUCUGGAAGGCAAAUACAGAGUCAACACCUCUGAAAUAUCUGGUAACUGAAGACCUGUUGAAGGUAAUAAACUCUCUCACUGCUGAGCAUCAGAGAAAUCCCAAGAGUUCCUGAAUUUCUC